rnacentral:rRNA from 1 species
GACGAACGCUGGCGGCGUGCUUAACACAUGCAAGUCGAACGGAGUGGCGAACGGGUGAGUAACGCGUAAUAAACCUGCCCUUCAGAGGGGGAUACCAGUUGGAAACGACUGCUAAUACCGCAUACUGAAGGAGGGGCUUGCGUGUGAUUAGCUAGUUGGAGGGGUGACGGCCCACCAAGGCGAUGAUCAGUAGCCGGUCUGAGAGGAUUAACGAGCACAUUGGGACGGAGACACGGCCCAGACUCCUACGGGAGGCAGCAGGGGGGAAUCUUCCGCAAUGGACGAAAGUCUGACGGCGCAACGCCGCGUGAGUGAUGACGGCCCUCGGGUUGUAAAGCUCUGUUAAUCGGGACGCGGUACCGGAAUAGAAAGCCACGGCUAACUACGUGCCAGCAGCCGCGGUAAUAC